AGGGAGCUUGCUCCGCUGACGACCGGCGCACGGGUGCGCACCGCGUAUGGAACCUACCUUGUACAGGGGAAUAGCCCAGGGAAACUUGGAUUAAUGCCCCGUGGUACCAUGACCCGGCAUCGGGAUAUGGUUAAAGCCUUCGGGCGGUACAAGAUGGCCAUGCGUCCCAUUAGUUUGUUGGUAAGGUAACGGCUUACCAAGACUACGAUGGGUAGGGGCCCUGAGAGGGGGAUCCCCCACACUGGUACUGAGACACGGACCAGACUCCUACGGGAGGCAGCAGUGAGGAAUAUUGGACAAUGGAGGAGACUCUGAUCCAGCCAUGCCGCGUGCAGGAAGAAUGCCCUAUGGGUAGUAAACUGCUUUUAUACGGGAAGAAAAAGAGCUACGUGUAGCUUACUGACGGUACCGUAAGAAUAAGGACCGGCUAACUCCGUGCCAGCAGCCGCGGUAAUACGGAGGGUCCGAGCGUUAUCCGGAAUUAUUGGGUUUAAAGGGUCCGUAGGCGGGCCGAUAAGUCAGGGGUGAAAGUCUGCCGCUCAACGGUAGAACUGCCUUUGAUACUGUCGGUCUUGAGUUAUAGUGAAGUUGCCGGAAUAUGUAGUGUAGCGGUGAAAUGCAUAGAUAUUACAUAGAACACCGAUUGCGAAGGCAGGUGACUAACUAUAUACUGACGCUGAUGGACGAAAGCGUGGGGAGCGAACAGGAUUAGAUACCCUGGUAGUCCACGCCGUAAACGAUGGAUACUAGCUGUCCGGAACCUUGAGUUCUGGGCGGCCAAGCGAAAGUGAUAAGUAUCCCACCUGGGGAGUACGUUCGCAAGAAUGAAACUCAAAGGAAUUGACGGGGGCCCGCACAAGCGGUGGAGCAUGUGGUUUAAUUCGAUGAUACGCGAGGAACCUUACCAGGGCUUAAAUGCAUAUUGACAGGUCUAGAGAUAGAUUUUCCUUCGGGCAAUUUGCAAGGUGCUGCAUGGUUGUCGUCAGCUCGUGCCGUGAGGUGUCAGGUUAAGUCCUAUAACGAGCGCAACCCCUACCGUUAGUUGCCAGCAUGUCAUGAUGGGGACUCUAACGGGACUGCCGGUGCAAACCGUGAGGAAGGUGGGGGAUGACGUCAAAUCAUCACGGCCCUUACGUCCUGGGCCACACACGUGCUACAAUGGCAGGUACAGAGAGCAGCCAUGUCGCAAGGCAGAGCGAAUCUAUAAAACCUGUCACAGUUCGGAUCGGGGUCUGCAACUCGACCCCGUGAAGCUGGAAUCGCUAGUAAUCGGAUAUCAGCCAUGAUCCGGUGAAUACGUUCCCGGGCCUUGUACACCCCGCCCGUCAAGCCAUGGAAGCCGGGAGUGC
rnacentral:rRNA from 1 species